rnacentral:rRNA from 1 species
UACGAAGGGGGCUAGCGUUGCUCGGAAUCACUGGGCGUAAAGCGCACGUAGGCGGACUCUUAAGUCGGUGGUGAAAUCCUGGAGCUCAACUCCAGAACUGCCUUUGAUACUGAAGAUCUUGAGUUCGGGAGAGGUGAGUGGAACUGCGAGUGUAGAGGUGAAAUUCGUAGAUAUUCGCAAGAACACCAGUGGCGAAGGCGGCUCACUGGCCCGAUACUGACGCUGAGGCACGAAAGCGUGGGGAGCAAAC